rnacentral:lncRNA from 1 species
CCACUUACCUUUAUAUGUAUCCUUGAUAGUAUGUAAGUUUUGCCUAAGUAUUUGGCGUUUAUUAAAUAACCAAGAGUUGUUCAUAGAGCUUACCUUAAUCAUGGCAUGUAUUUUUUGUUCAAUAGUAGUGAUAUGAUCAAGCUCCAGAAAAUUAUUAUCCCCAGAAUACACAAGUUGCCUAUAGCUAGGACAUUAAUCAUUCUAUUAAAUGGAAUAUCAUCAAAUUUUACUUUAUGAUUUUGCAUUUUUGUUUCCAACACG